UCCAGGCAUGGUGCUGUGUGCCUGUAGUCCCAGCUACUUGGAAGGAUGAGGUGGGAGUAUCGCUUGAGGCAAGGAGUUCUGGGCUGUAGUGUGCUAUGCCAAUCUGGUGUCCACACUAAGUUCAGCAUCAAUAUGGUGAUCUCCUGGGAGCAGGGGACCACCAGGUUGCCUAGGGGGGUGAACCAGCCCAGGUCAGAAACGGAGCAGGUCAAAACUCCCAUGCUGAUCAGUAGUGGGAUAGCACCUGUGAAUAGCCACUGCACUCCAGCCUGGGCAGCAUAGCGAGACACUGUCUCA
rnacentral:SRP_RNA from 1 species